rnacentral:rRNA from 1 species
UACGUAGGGGCCUAGCGUUGUCCGGAAUUAUUGGGCGUAAAGAGCUCGUAGGCGGUUUGUCGCGUCUGCUGUGAAAACUCAGGGCUUAACCCUGAGCCUGCAGUGGGUACGGGCAGACUAGAGUGUGGUAGGGGAGAUCGGAAUUCCUGGUGUAGCGGUGGAAUGCGCAGAUAUCAGGAGGAACACCGGUGGCGAAGGCGGCUCUCUGGACCGAGACUGACGCUGAGGCGCGAAAGCGUGGGGAGCAAACAGG